CACCGGCUAAUUAAGAAGGAGAGAUUGACUUUCCCAUGGCUCUCUCCCUCUUUCUCUCUCACUAUGUCUCUCUUUCUCCAUCUCUCUCCCACUCUCUCUCACUCUCCCAUGCCUUCCUCUCUUUCCUAAUUUUUUUUCUCUCUCUCUCCCCCUCCUCUUUCCUAAAUUUUUUUCCAUAAACUUUUAAAAUUUUUGCACUUUUAGCAUUCAGAACUUAAAACCUUUUUUUUUAUUGACAAUUCAGCAUCAUGGACUUUCAACCUUUUGCAAUUAGGUCACAAAAUGAAAAAGGGAUAAAAAUAGUUGAGUGAUGUCUAAUUUGGAGCUGACAUCAGCAUGCCAGGUCAGCGCCAUUAACGUUGUUAGCCACUUUUUCACCAAAGUGCUAACGACAGGAAAGUGGAAUCCUUGAACUACAACGAAACUUACUUUAGAC
rnacentral:misc_RNA from 1 species